AGAGUUUGAUCAUGGGCUCAGGACGAACGCUGGGCGGCGUGCCUAACACAUGCAAGUCGAACGGAAGUAUCAAUGAAGCUUGCGAUUUGAUACUUUAGUGGCGGACGGGUGAGUAACGCGUGGGUAAUCUGCCCAUAAGUGGGGAAUAACAGUUGGAAACGACUGCUAAUACCGCAUAUGGUGAGAAAUCAUUAAAGGUGGCCUCUGAAGAUGCUGCCGCUUAUGGAUGAGCCCGCGUCUGAUUAGCUAGUUGGUGGGGUAAAGGCCUACCAAGGCGACGAUCAGUAGCCGGCCUGAGAGGGUGAACGGCCACAUUGGGACUGAGACACGGCCCAAACUCCUACGGGAGGCAGCAGUGGGGAAUAUUGCGCAAUGGGGGAAACCCUGACGCAGCGACGCCGCGUGAGCGAUGAAGGCCUUAGGGUUGUAAAGCUCUGUUUUAAGGGACGAAUGUCGUGGGGAGUAAUAUGCUCUACGAAUGACGGUACCUUAAGAGGAAGCCCCGGCUAACUACGUGCCAGCAGCCGCGGUAAGACGUAGGGGGCGAGCUUUGUCCGGAAUUACUGGGCGUAAAGAGCACGUAGGCGGGACUUUAAGUCAGAUGUGAAAGACCGGGGCUCAACUCCGGGGUUGCAUUUGAAACUGGAGUUCUUGAGGGCAGGAGAGGAAAGCAGAAUUCCUGGUGUAGCGGUGAAAUGCGUAGAAAUCAGGAGGAAUACCAGUGGCGAAGGCGGCUUUCUGGACUGACCCUGACGCUGAGGUGCGAAAGCGUGGGUAGCAAACAGGAUUAGAUACCCUGGUAGUCCACGCCGUAAACGAUGGAUACUAGGUGUGGGAGGUAUCGACCCCUUCCGUGCCGCAGCUAACGCAAUAAGUAUCCCGCCUGGGGAGUACGAUCGC
rnacentral:rRNA from 1 species